CACACACGAGUUAAGAGAAUGGUUCUCCAAAAGGCAUUGGGGUGGAAGGCCAGGUAGGCUCUGAAGCAUACACCUACACCCUUCCCUCCGUGCCGUUCCUGUCCUCAAAGAAGAAAAACUUAAACAAAUAAAUAAACAAAAAAAGCAGCCAAGCAGGGCAGCCGCACCCAGCGUCCUGGCUGCGGCAGGAACAUUCCGUCUCGGAGCUCCAGUGGGUCUCUGUUUGUGCAGGCAGAGCUGUCUGACGCCAUUGCCCGCAAGCUGGCAUUUCUGUCCUGGAGCCUCAGCGCCAUGGCCCAACCCUCCUCCGGGGGCUGGGCCUUUCAGGACUACGUCUGCAGGCAUUGUGCUGGUAAGCUGACAGCGGGUCAGUACUGGGGUCGGCUGAACCCUUCGCCAUCCUAGAGAUGUCACUGCCCCUCACCCCUCAGAGUAGCAGAGAGCUUGGAGAAGCCCUGACAGCAUCCUGUACACAAGGAUGCGGGAGAUUCCUCAUCUUGACUGCAGCCUGCUCUCCCUUCGACAGAGAGAAGCAAAGACCUCGUGCCACAGGGCCCAGUGGAGACAAGGUGAUGCCUCAUGCGGGACUAAAGGAAGAGUGGACACACAACUGCCUGGGCUGGUGAUCACCUUCAUUAACACCAAAUCCUCUCAACUGGGAUCAGUGCGUGGUGAGCGGCUCCUCUGAACCCUUCCAGCGUCGGGAACAGCCUGGACUGGCAGAAACACCCACAAACGUAAUUAGCCCAGGAAGCCGAGCUGCGUCACCCUCACCCUCACACGGGCUCUGAAGCUCCGGUGUUUGCGGCUUCGUGCUCAUUCCCAUGCUUAUUUUUUAAGGCUUCCUGUCUGGUUGCCUGUCUUGAGGUGUCCCUGGGGACUCAAAUGAUGUGUGUCGACAUUCUCCUGAAGUUACAGAAGUCCUUCAUGACCCAAAUUUAAAAUAUCAUCUCCCAGGGGCUGGGGAUUUAGCUCAGUGGUAGAGUGCUUACCUUGGAAGCGCAAGGCCCUGGGUUCGGUCCCCAGCUCCGAAAAAAAGAACCAAAAAAAUAAAAUAAAAUAAAAUAUCAUCUCCCCAGA